rnacentral:lncRNA from 1 species
GAGACACAGCUGUAAAUCCACGAUAAUCACCAUGCAUAGAAUGCUCACCACUCAGCUUACACCUCCUACCAGGAACCCAAGCAGCUUUGGACUAUUACACGAAACAACAAUUUCUUAGCUGGAAAAUUGGCCCUUAUUGGUGAGUUAUUCACUAUAUCAUCUGCCAGUCAGCAAGCAGGUGGUGGGUGGCUUAGGAUUUAAACCUCUGGGUGCUUGAGCGGCCGUUCUCAGCUAAGUCUGAAGGAAACACGCUGGACCAGGGAGCUGUGCUCAGCCAGAGUUUGAUGAUAGGAUCUCGUAAGGAGAGAGGCAGCAGCGCAAGGAGCUUUCCUUCCAGAUUCCAUGCUCACACUUGCUGAUUGCCCGGUGCCAAGCCCAUGUCAGGCAGAGAUGCACAGUAACGAUCCAAAUUGGUGCCAUUAUACAAAUAACUUGAUUAGUAUCAUCCAAGUGUGGGCUGCUGAUUAAUCAUCACUGAAAUUAGAGAUAAGUGAUAAGGGCAUUCAUUACUCAUGACUUGUUUUUCAGGAGUAAGGGGGCAGCAGAGGAGAAAGGAGAAGAGCAUUAGACUUGGAAAACAGGAGUCUUUGCUAUGGUUCAACGCUUCCUGGUGAUGCAAAUCUAUAAUUCUGAAUUUUCUUACAUAUUUAAAUUGGGAAAAGGGUAUCUCUCUAACAGGGUUAUAAGGAGACUUGAGUGAAGAAAUGUUCUCUCUCUUUCUCUCUCUCUCUCUCUCUCUCUCUCUGCUGUAGAAAAGACAACUCUGAAAAUUCUACAUAAAGGAUUAUAUUAUCCUUCAAAUCUCUCUACAAUCAUACAGUCAUCAUCACCAAGACCUUUUUAACAUCUUCAAAAUCUGUUGGAUUUUUUUAAGCUUAGAAUUUUAGAUGUUAUUCACCUCUCUUAAUUUCUAUUCUUGUUAUCAUGUUAGAACACUCUGACGAAAGCAACUUAAAGGAGGAAGAGCCCAUUGUGCCUCACGGUCCAAGGCACAAUCCAUCACAGCAAGAAAGUCAAGGCACUGGGGCUUGAAGCAGCCCAUCAUGUUGCGUCUAGUCAGGAAUCAGAGACGGAUGAGCACAAGUCAGAGGCUGUGUUUUUAAUUUAUACAGUUCAGGAUCUCCUACCCAGGAAACAGUCCUGCCUAUAGUUAACAUCAAUGACCAUAACCAAGGAAAUCCCCCAUAGAUAUUCCCGGAAAUGAUUCCAGGUCCUGUCAACCAUCACCUCAUGCUAUUAUAAAAUUAACGGAAAAGAAGAGAGAAAAAGUAAACAUGUUUGUUGAGAAACAUUUAGGUUAAACCACCUACUCACGGCUGUGUAUAGGAAAAACGCAAGGCACACAGCAGAUGUGGGCAGAGGGCCUACACUGGAAUUAGACACAAUGUACAGCUUUCAAAAAGGGUUUACUCUACGGGCUCUCUCCAUCAUAGUAAGUCCCGAGAACAACGUCCAUCUUCCCAGGAGAGAAGGGGUAGACAGCAUCAAGCUGGCAACACCACACAGCAUCUUCCUUGGCAAACUUCACAGUCAACAUCUCAGAUACCUGGCAGACUAAUCAGGCAUGAUGUACAAGCCUUAGAGAGGGCAUUUCUUUCUAAAUGCCAAAACUAAGGCUAAAUGGAAAGAAACAAACAAAAAAAAAAGUCUCAACACUUGCAAACUGGCCACUCCCUUUGUCCUAGUUUUCAACACAGGAAGGGCCCAUGAAAUAUUGACAUAAGCAGGGAUGGCUGACCCCUGUCUAGCUCACCUUAGCCUGAUAGGCUCCUCUACGUCCCCUGUUCUUCGCCCACUGUAGGCCGCCACUCCUCACACAUAAUUUCCUCCUUUCUUACUAAGUGCAAGAGCUUGGGAUAAAGCUACCAAGCAUUGAGACCUGUCCUGCUCACUAAUGAGUUCCUGGGUGUGCCUGCGAUGUCUGAGGUCUCUAGAAAUGCAACCUUCACUAAGUGCUGCUCUCCUGUAGCAUGCAUGUGGGGGUGUAAUCACCCCCCUUCCAUAUGACACUGGAGGAAAGAAAAGAUCAUAGACAAAGUUUAAUAAUAAUAUAUGAUUUAGCUUGACAGUUAUACCCUGACACCAGUAGAUAUUCUUAGGUAAAAAUACACCGGUCGAAUGAAGUAGCAAAUCAAUACAUAAUUGAUGUCUGACAAUAGUUGGUGAUUAUUGGCAUUAAAUUCUUAUUUUAAUCACUGGAUCAACCCAUGUCCCCCACCACCAAUCUAUUCAUAAAAGCAGAAAAGCGGACCUGGAGGAACCCCACACCGAUCCUACAGGUUUGAGUGCAACUACGCGACUUUGUUUUGUAUGGUUGUAAGGUUACUGCUGUAGGUGUUUGUGCAGGGCAUGUUCGUGGAGUGUGCAUGCCGUCUAGAGGUCAAACCUGAGUGUUAUUCCUUGGGUUUUGAGACUGCCAUUCACUAGUGUGAGUUCACUAAGUUGGCUAGGCGCCCUAGCCAGUCAGCACCAGAAAGCUGCAUGUCUCAGCCUCCGUCGUGCUGGGAGUACAAAAAUAUUGACACCAAGAGCAGCUUUUUAUAUCGGUUCUGUGGAUUGACCUGUGCUUCUUGACUUGCUGCAUGCAUUGAUUAUGUGCAUGCACAUACGGCUCGUUCUUCAUUAUGCAUGCACACUGUCCCACUUGUUACAGGGUGCUGUCCCGAAUUUGUCUUCCAAGGGGUCAAUCCUAUCUCUGCCCUUAUCAGCUUGACCUUGGGCCAAUGGCUUCAGUCUCGAAGUCUCACAAUUCCCCACAAGCAGACAGGACAUGAAAAUGUCUCCUUUACCAGGUUAUGUUGAGAAUCAGUGGAUUUGAGCCAAAUCAAUGGAUUGAUAGAGCAGCGAACUUAAUGUGAGUUGUACAGACCCAAAAUUACUUACUGUUAUUUUAAUUAUGUUAAGCUCUUUAUUCCUGUGUAUCUUCAAAUAAAAACUUUAAUUAUUU